UGGUGACCAGCGGAGGGAUCAUUACCGAUUGCAAAAUCUCUAAACCAUCGCGAACGUUACCCCACGCCGUUGCCUCGGCGGGGAGCCUCUCCGGGGGCCGCCCGCCGGUGGUACCACAAACUCUUUUUAUUUACAGGCCUCUCUGAGUAUUUAUAAAAAUAAGUUAAAACUUUCAACAACGGAUCUCUUGGUUCUGGCAUCGAUGAAGAACGCAGCGAAAUGCGAUAAGUAAUGUGAAUUGCAGAAUUCAGUGAAUCAUCGAAUCUUUGAACGCACAUUGCGCCCGCCAGUAUUCUGGCGGGCAUGCCUGUUCGAGCGUCAUUUCAACCAUCAAGCCCUAGGCUUGUGUUGGGGCCCUGCGGCUGCCGCAGGCCCUGAAAAACAGUGGCGGGCUCGCUGUCACACCGAGCGUAGUAAAACAUCUCGCUUUGGACGUGCGGCGGGUUCUUGCCGUUAAACACCCCCCUUCUCAAGGUUGACCUCGGAUCAGGUAGGAAUACCCGCUGAACUUAAGCAUAUC
rnacentral:rRNA from 1 species